UACGUGAGGUGCAAGCGUUGUUCGGAAUUAUUGGGCGUAAAGCGCUUGUAGGCGGCACGUCAAGUCGCGUGUGAAAUCCCCAGGCUUAACCUGGGAAGUGCGCGCGAAACUGACGAGCUUGAGUGCCGGAGAGGGUCGCGGAAUUCCCGGUGUAGAGGUGAAAUUCGUAGAUAUCGGGAGGAACACCAGUGGCGAAGGCGGCGACCUGGACGGACACUGACGCUGAGACGCGAAAGCGUGGGGAGCAAACAGG
rnacentral:rRNA from 1 species